rnacentral:lncRNA from 1 species
CUUAAUAUAUAUAUAUUUAUGAAAAUGGGUGCAAUAUGAUUGUUUUGAUAUGACUGUGACAUGAGAACGAAUUUAUUUGUUAUAAAACUUUUUGUUUUUAAUUUUUGCAAAAAAAAUGUAUUUGAUCAGUAACAAAGUUAUAAAUUAUUUGUGUACUAACUGAUAGUGCCUCUGUUGUGCUCCUAGCAUAGACCACACAGAAAAAGGAAAAUAGUAAUAUAAAC